rnacentral:rRNA from 1 species
GAUGAACGCUAGCGGCAGGCUUAACACAUGCAAGUCGAGGGGUAUAGGGAGCUUGCUUCCUAGAGACCGGCGCACGGGUGCGUAACGCGUAUGCAAUCUACCUUUUGCAGAGGGAUAGCCCAGAGAAAUUUGGAUUAAUACCUCAUAGUAUGUGAGAAUGGCAUCAUUUUCACAUUAAAGUCACAACGGCAAAAGAUGAGCAUGCGUCCCAUUAGCUAGUUGGUAAGGUAACGGCUUACCAAGGCUACGAUGGGUAGGGGUCCUGAGAGGGAGAUCCCCCCANACUGGUACUGAGACACGGACCAGACUCCUACGGGAGGCAGCAGUGAGGAAUAUUAGACAAUGGGCGCAAGCCUGAUCCAGCCAUGCCGCGUGCAGGAUGACGGUCCUAUGGAUU